rnacentral:tRNA from 1 species
GGAGUUAUAGCUCAGUUAGUAGAGUGCUUGCCUCACAUGCAUAAGGCCCUGGGUUCAAUCCCCAGCACUACA